rnacentral:rRNA from 1 species
UUGUCUCAAAGAUUAAGCCAUGCAUGUCUCAGUACAAGCCGCACUAAGGUGAAACCGCGAAAGGCUCAUUAAAUCAGUUAUGGUUCCUUAGAUCGUACCCACAUUUACUUGGAUAACUGUGGUAAUUCUAGAGCUAAUACAUGCAAACAGAGCUCCGACCGGAGACGGGAGGAGUGCUUUUAUUAGAUCAAAACCAAUCGGCGGCGGUGGCGUUCGCGUCGCCGUUCGCCGCUCAACCUGGUGACUCUGAAUAACUUUACGCUGAUCGCACGGUCUCGCACCGGCGACGCAUCUUUCAAAUGUCUGCCUUAUCAACUGUCGAUGGUAGGUUCUGCGCCUACCAUGGUCGUAACGGGUAACGGGGAAUCAGGGUUCGAUUCCGGAGAGGGAGCCUGAGAAACGGCUACCACAUCCAAGGAAGGCAGCAGGCGCGCAAAUUACCCACUCCCGGCACGGGGAGGUAGUGACGAAAAAUAACGAUACGGGACUCAUCCGAGGCCCCGUAAUCGGAAUGAGUACACUUUAAAUCCUUUAACGAGGACCAAUUGGAGGGCAAGUCUGGUGCCAGCAGCCGCGGUAACUCCAGCUCCAAUAGCGUA